AGAGUUUGAUCCUGGCUCAGGACGAACGCUGGCGGCAUGCCUAAUACAUGCAAGUCGAACGCUUUUGUUUCACCGGGUGCUUGCACCCACCGAGACAAAAGAGUGGCGGACGGGUGAGUAACACGUGGGUAACCUGCCCAUAAGAGGGGGAUAACAUCCGGAAACGGAUGCUAAUACCGCAUAUUUCCAAUUGUCUCGUGACAGAUGGAAAAAAGGUGGCUUCGGCUACCGCUUAUGGAUGGACCCGCGGCGUAUUAGCUAGUUGGUGAGGUAAUGGCUCACCAAGGCGAUGAUACGUAGCCGACCUGAGAGGGUGAUCGGCCACACUGGGACUGAGACACGGCCCAGACUCCUACGGGAGGCAGCAGUAGGGAAUCUUCCGCAAUGGACGAAAGUCUGACGGAGCAAUGCCGCGUGAGUGAAGAAGGUUUUCGGAUCGUAAAACUCUGUUGUUAGAGAAGAACAAGGAUGAGAGUAACUGCUCAUCCCCUGACGGUAUCUAACCAGAAAGCCACGGCUAACUACGUGCCAGCAGCCGCGGUAAUACGUAGGUGGCAAGCGUUGUCCGGAUUUAUUGGGCGUAAAGCGAGCGCAGGCGGUUCUUUAAGUCUGAUGUGAAAGUCCCCGGCUCAACCGGGGAGGGUCAUUGGAAACUGGAGAACUUGAGUGCAGAAGAGGAGAGUGGAAUUCCACGUGUAGCGGUGAAAUGCGUAGAUAUGUGGAGGAACACCAGUGGCGAAGGCGACUCUCUGGUCUGUAACUGACGCUGAGGCUCGAAAGCGUGGGGAGCAAACAGGAUUAGAUACCCUGGUAGUCCACGCCGUAAACGAUGAGUGCUAAGUGUUGGAGGGUUUCCGCCCUUCAGUGCUGCAGCUAACGCAUUAAGCACUCCGCCUGGGGAGUACGACCGCAAGGUUGAAACUCAAAGGAAUUGACGG
rnacentral:rRNA from 1 species